GCUCGAAGUAAUAACACACACUAAAAUUACGUCGUAAUUGGGAAGAGUCAGCUGCCCCUGCCUAUGGGUUUUAUGUAACCUGUAACGUCUUCAAAUACCACAUGCCAAUUUCCAUAUUCUGUCGUCCGCUAUAUCCAGACUAUUAGUCCUUGAGGAAGCGGAAGCGUAUCCCAGAACAAAAUUUGUCUACAUUAAAUUUCCUACAAAAAUGCCCUGUUCAGUUCUUCCAUAGGACUAAUAGUUUUCACAUAGUGAGCGAGAGCAUAUGAAAAUCUCGCCUGUGGUCUUUGAAGGCUUUGUGGGUUGUGUUGAGGUAGCUGCAUAUCUUAAAUUCCACUCGUUUCUAUAAAGAGUGAGCGUUGUUUUUGCCGACAGAUGUUUUCGCUGCUGCUCCUGGUGCUGCCUCUGCUGGCGGAGGGUGCUUCCACAGAAAGUGUGGGCUGUGUACUGCCAGCUGCCUCCACUGAGAAGUUCUAUAUGACUACCGACGAGAAACCGUGGUAUCAGCAGUACCAGUACAAAGUACCCGGCCUGUUUGACCUGGGCUGUGUCACCUACGUCCAGUCGCCUGGAGAGAGCGACACCGAGAUGUACCUUACUGGGAACUUCAGCAAGGCGCCACUGUAAGCUUUCCCCUCAACAGCCUUGUAACAUUCACUGGAAACAAGAUGGAUAAGGUCUACGAAGGCGUAUGGAACUCUAUACUGAGCGGACCAUAUAACGUAGUGUACUCGCACGAGGACUUCGUCAUUGACCACUACUGUUUUCUAGGAUAUGAAGUGGCACAAAUCUUCACAACUGUCAAAGAACCCAGCGACGAAUUGAUGGAACUGAUAUGGGAAGUUGUCGGUAAUCACACUGAAGUGGACAAGUCUAAAUUUCAGAAAGUGGUCUGUUAAUGCUGUACUUCUG